UCAGACACUCGUCCACCAGCAAAACGAGUCUGGGCAACUGAUGAUUUCCACACGGCAUCAAAUUCUCCACCUAAAAAGCCUUUCCACAACACAAAUGAAGAACUACUGACAGAGGAGCUACAGAGCAAUGCAGUUCAGCACUUCUGGUGUGUCAGUGCAACUCAUUGUCAAAGUGAUGAAAGGUACACAGAAUUCUCUCGAAAUCAUCAGUGCACAUGUAAUGCCCUCACA